rnacentral:rRNA from 1 species
UACGUAGGGUGCGAGCGUUAAUCGGAAUUACUGGGCGUAAAGCGUGCGCAGGCGGUGAGCUGUGUCCGAUGUGAAAGCCCCGGGCUUAACCUGGGAAUGGCAUUGGAAACUGGCUCGCUGGAGUGUGGCAGAGGGGGGUGGAAUUCCGCGUGUAGCAGUGAAAUGCGUAGAGAUGCGGAGGAACACCGAUGGCGAAGGCAGCCCCCUGGGCUAACACUGACGCUCAGGCACGAAAGCGUGGGAGCAAACAGG